UACAGAGGUCUCGAGCGUUGUUCGGAUUCAUUGGGCGUAAAGGGUGCGUAGGUGGCGGGGCAAGUCAGGUGUGAAAUCCCGGGGCUCAACCCCGGAACUGCAUUUGAUACUGCCUUGCUCGAGUACUGGAGAGGAGACUGGAAUUUACGGUGUAGCAGUGAAAUGCGUAGAUAUCGUAAGGAAGACCAGUGGCGAAGGCGGGUCUCUGGACAGUUCCUGACACUGAGGCACGAAGGCCAGGGGAGCAAACGGG
rnacentral:rRNA from 1 species